UGGGGAAUUUUGGACAAUGGGCGAAAGCCUGAUCCAGCAAUGCCGCGUGUGUGAAGAAGGCCUUCGGGUUGUAAAGCACUUUUGUCCGGAAAGAAAUCCUUGGCUCUAAUACAGUCGGGGGAUGACGGUACCGGAAGAAUAAGCACCGGCUAACUACGUGCCAGCAGCCGCGGUAAUACGUAGGGUGCAAGCGUUAAUCGGAAUUACUGGGCGUAAAGCGUGCGCAGGCGGUUUGCUAAGACCGAUGUGAAAUCCCCGGGCUCAACCUGGGAGCUGCAUUGGUGACUGGCAGGCUAGAGUAUGGCAGAGGGGGGUAGAAUUCCACGUGUAGCAGUGAAAUGCGUAGAGAUGUGGAGGAAUACCGAUGGCGAAGGCAGCCCCCUGGGCCAAUACUGACGCUCAUGCACGAAAGCGUGGGGAGCAAACAGGAUUAGAUACCCUGGUAGUCCACGCCCUAAACGAUGUCAACUAGUUGUUGGGGAUUCAUUUCCUUAGUAACGUAGCUAACGCGUGAAGUUGACCGCCUGGGGAGUACGGUCGCAAGAUUAAAACUCAAAUGAAUUGACGGGGUCAUAGCUGUUUCCU
rnacentral:rRNA from 1 species